rnacentral:rRNA from 1 species
GACGAACGCUGGCGGCGUGCUUAACACAUGCAAGUCGAACGGAAAGGCCCCUUUGGGGGUACUCGAGUGGCGAACGGGAGAGUAACACGUGAGUAACCUGCCCUUGACUUCGGGAUAACUUCAGGAAACUGGGGCUAAUACCGGCUAGGAAUCCUUGCUGCAUGGUGGGGGUUGGAAAGCUUCGGCGGUUUUGGAUGGACUCGCGGCUGAUCAGCUUGUUGGUGGGGUAGUGGCUUAUCAAGGCUUUGACGGGUAGCCGGCCUGGGAGGGCGACCGGCCACAGUGGGACUGAGAUACGGCCCAGACUCCGACGGGAGGCAGCAGUGGGGAAUAGUGCACAAUGGGCGGAAGCCUGAUGCAGCAACGCCGCGGGCGGGAUGACGGCCUUCGGGUUGUAAACCGCUUUCAGCAGGGGCGAAGCUUGUGGUGACGGUACCUGCAGAAGAAGCACCGGCUAACUACGUG